UCCGGCUUGUCGCCGGCGGUCCCUUUAGAGUGCCCAACUGAAUGAUGGCAACUAAGGGCGAGGGUUGCGCUCGUUGCGGGACUUAACCCAACAUCUCACGACACGAGCUGACGACAGCCAUGCAGCACCUGUGUGGUAGCCAGCCGAACUGAAGGACCCCGUCUCCGGAGCCCAUACUACCCAUGUCAAGGCCUGGUAAGGUUCUGCGCGUUGCAUCGAAUUAAUCCACAUAAUCCACCGCUUGUGCGGGUCCCCGUCAAUUCCUUUGAGUUUUAGCCUUGCGGCCGUACUCCCCAGGCGGGGUACUUAAUGCGCUAGCUACGGCACGGAUCCCAAGGAAGGAAACCCACACCUAGUACCCACCGUUUACGGCGUGGACUAC
rnacentral:misc_RNA from 1 species